rnacentral:rRNA from 1 species
UACGGGGGGGCAAGCGGUUGUUCGGAAUUACUGGGCGUAAAGGGCUUGUAGGUGGCCAACUAAGUCAGACGUGAAAUCCCUCAGCUUAACUGGGGAACUGCGUCUGAUACUGGAUGGCUUGAGUUUGGGAGAGGGAUGCGGAAUUCCAGGUGUAGCGGUGAAAUGCGUAAGAUAUGGAGGAACACCGGUGGCGAAGGCGGCAUCCUGGACCAACACUGACACUGAGGAGCGAAAGCCAGGGAGCAAACGGG